UACUAUACUGCAAGUCGAACGAACUCUGGUAUUGAUUGGUGCUUGCAUCAUGAUUUACAUUUGAGUGAGUGGCGAACUGGUGAGUAACACGUGGGAAACCUGCCCAGAAGCGGGGGAUAACACCUGGAAACAGAUGCUAAUACCGCAUAACAACUUGGACCGCAUGGUCCGAGUUUGAAAGAUGGCUUCGGCUAUCACUUUUGGAUGGUCCCGCGGCGUAUUAGCUAGAUGGUGGGGUAACGGCUCACCAUGGCAAUGAUACGUAGCCGACCUGAGAGGGUAAUCGGCCACAUUGGGACUGAGACACGGCCCAAACUCCUACGGGAGGCAGCAGUAGGGAAUCUUCCACAAUGGACGAAAGUCUGAUGGAGCAACGCCGCGUGAGUGAAGAAGGGUUUCGGCUCGUAAAACUCUGUUGUUAAAGAAGAACAUAUCUGAGAGUAACUGUUCAGGUAUUGACGGUAUUUAACCAGAAAGCCACGGCUAACUACGUGCCAGCAGCCGCGGUAAUACGUAGGUGGCAAGCGUUGUCCGGAUUUAUUGGGCGUAAAGCGAGCGCAGGCGGUUUUUUAAGUCUGAUGUGAAAGCCUUCGGCUCAACCGAAGAAGUGCAUCGGAAACUGGGAAACUUGAGUGCAGAAGAGGACAGUGGAACUCCAUGUGUAGCGGUGAAAUGCGUAGAUAUAUGGGAAGAACACCAGUGGCGAAGGCGACUGUCUGGUCUGUAACUGACGCUGAGGCUCGAAAGUAUGGGUAGCAACAGGAUUAGAUACCCUGGUAGUUCCAUACCCGCACACGAUUGA
rnacentral:rRNA from 2 species